AACGGUGUCAACAAACCUGCAGGCCUCUGAUGUUCAACCUUAGACUUCUGACAAGUCAAACACGCAUACACAAACCGAGCGACAGCCUUCUUCAAACCAGACCACCAAAACAGCUUCUUCAAGUCAUGAUACAUUUUUGUAGCUCCCGGAUGAAUACUCAAGUUGCUCUUAUGACUUUCUUCCAAAAUCAACUUCUUCAAUUCUUCAUUGUCAGGAAUACAAAUUCUGC
rnacentral:lncRNA from 1 species